ensembl:lncRNA TAGAP-AS1 TAGAP antisense RNA 1
CCUGGCUAGGGAGGCGGCCUUGGCUGGCUUGACCGUCAUCCUUGAGGCCUGCGGGGCAACGGUGGCUGUCCUUGGCCCGGCUUUGGAAUGUGGCUUUGCAGGGCUGGUGUUGGCGCCAUUCUCGCAGGCCCACGUGCUCCUGCUCUUCCAGGGUGUCCUCGGCUGUUUCUCCUGCCGCGGCGCAGCAGCGCUCCCAGGCUGCCCCCGCGAUAACACGCCCCUGGCAGCCAGGCUCCCAGCUCUGUUACGUGCCCGGGCGGGGAAGAGCUUCCUGGUGUCUCCCGGCUCCUGCCCUUCUCCCGCCCCAGGGGCGGGCUGCCGCCGCCCUCUGCAGCUGAGUCAGUGCAGUUCCUCACCUACCUUCUCUGCUCACCGCUGUGUGCUAGCAAUCGGAGGACCCUUGGCACACGGAGCGACAGGGGCCUCCCCCACAGACACCUCAUUUUGGGAAAGAAGCUGUACAGGAGGCAUGGCUGGGGAGGCCUCAGAAAACUUACAAUCAUGGCAGAAGGUGAAGGGGAAGCCAGCACAUCUUCAUAUGAUGGCAGGAACUUUAUAUGUUAUAGAAGUUAGCCCCAAGAAUGAAAUCGUGUCCUUUGCCAAAACAUGGAUGGAGCUAGAGGCCUUUAUCCUAACAAGCUCUCAUCGUCCUGCAUAGUAAGAGUCUUCAGAACGUGGAAAGGAACUUCAGUGGCUUUUGCUGGGUUGGGCUGAAGGAAACCCCGGUGAAACCCACACCUGUAAAGAUGCUUCUCACAGUGGGACUUUUAUCGCUUGGGUCCUGGUCACAAUCAAUUUUUCUGCAAAUAAUUGGCUUUGCUUUUCUUGUGGUGAGUCUCUAAGGACAGUGAGUUCCGUUCUGGGGACUGUGAGUUCUAUGCUGUGUACAUGUGUGCUUUGGAGGGUGACUGGAAGCACCAUCGUUCCUUCCCAUACUUUCAGGCUCAGUUACCGCUUCAGUCUGGACUGUUGUGAACGAGAAUAUGGAAGUCAUUUUCCCCACAUUGUUUACCCAGCUUGCCUGGGAAACACCAACUGGAGGAUUAGAGUCCGGCUCUUCAGUUUGAACUCACUUUCCCUUUCUCUUCCUGGGACCACCCAGUGAUUCAGAGCCCUGCAUUCUGUAAUGAGAUUAAUGUCAACAGUUUCCUGCAUUGAAGAUUAUUUUCCCAAAGAGUUCACGAUUUCCUUCAGGACUUCUCCAUCACCCCAGUGUCUGGCUACCUAAUGACUGAUUAACAGGUUGAUUUUCUAGAAAACUCAAAUUACAAUUUCUUUUUUUUAAAAAAGGGCAAUCCAGCCUUUUCUCUGAUUAUCCGUCCUCCCCAUCUCCCACUUGUCCUAUGUUUUAGCCACACAGGCUGUUGUCAUCCCCUAAAAGUGUGCUUCUGAGUCUCCAGGCCUUUGAUAAAUUGUUCCCUCCUCCUGAAAUGCCAUUCACGCCAUCUGCCUUUUGGAAUUCUGCCCUUCCCUCGGAAUCUAGCCCAAGUCCUAUCUCCUCUAAGAAGGGACUUUUCUAGAUUGAAUUAAAUUUCCUUCCCUGGCCCUGCAUAGUGGCCGCACCCAGUAGACUGUGAGUCUACUUUUUUCAUCUUUUAUUCUUACAAGUGCCUGGCCUCAUAUUUUGCACACAGUAGGCAUUUGCUAUACUUUAAUUACUAGUAAAAUUGAGUGAUAAAAUAAAACAUUUAAAUCUCA